UGUGAAAUUCAAUUUAAUUUGAAAUUUUUAAUUUAUUAAUUUUAUUUUUUAUUUUGUUAUAAAUGAAGUAACAAUUUGUUUUAUUAAUUUUAAUUGGAAUAAUUUUUUUAAUUAUAGUUUAAAGUAUUGUGAGAGAAUAUUUAUUUUUUAAAGAAAAGAAGGUUUAAUUAACUGUACCUUGUGUAUUAGGGUUUAUUUAAUUUAUUAACGUAUGAAAUUUUCCCGAUUUCAAAAGAGCUACUUUUUUAUAAUUUUUAAUGUUGAAGAAUUAUUUUGAAUUAUAAAGUUGAAAUGAAACGUUAUUCGUUUUUGAUGGUAUCUGGUUUCUGAAGAGAUAAAUUUAAUUUAGAAUUGGUUUCUAAUAAUUCUUUUUUAUGAAUUAAUUUGAGGCUACUUUUAAUAUUCAAGGGGAUAAGCUUUUGUUUAAAUUGUUAAAAGUUUAAUUUUAUUUUAAAUUGUAUAGAGUUGGAAGUGCUUAUUUAGUGUUUAACAACUAAGUUUAAUUAUUUAUUAUUUAUAUUUGCUUUAAAUUAUUUAUUUGGAUGAAUUUUUAAAUUUGAUUAGAUUUGUAAUUAUGAUGAAAUUAUUAUAAAAUGUUUUGAUAUUAAAUAUUAAUUUUUAUUUUGAUUAAAGGAAUUCGGCAAAAAUUUUCUUUACCUGUUUAAUAAAAACAUGUCUUUUAGAUUAUAAUUUGAAGUCUAGUCUGCCCACUGAUAAUUUGAAUGGCCGCAGUAUUUUGACUGUGCUAAGGUAGCAUAAUCAUUAGUUAUUUGAUUGAUAGCUGGUAUGAAUGGCUGGAUAAGGGAACAUCUGUCUCUAUUUAAAAAUUUAGAAUUUUAUUUUUGAGUUAAAAAGCUUAAAUUUUUUAAAAAGACGAGAAGACCCUAUAGAGUUUGAUGUAAAUGUAUUUUAAAUUAUUAGGAACUUUGGUGAUUAAUUGUAUUGUUUAUAUUUUGUUGGGGUGAUGCUAAAAUUUGUUUAACUUUUUGUUUAUUUAAACACUAAUGAGUGAUUAAUUGAUCUUGUUAUACAGAUUAAUGGAUUAAAUUACCUUAGGGAUAACAGCGUUAUUUUCUUUGAUAGUUCUUAUUGAAAGGAAAGUUUACGACCUCGAUGUUGAAUUAAAGUUUAUUUUGGGUGUAGAAGCUUUAAUAUUAAGUCUGUUCGACUUUUGAAACUUUACAUGAUUUGAGUUUAAACCGGCGUGAGCCAGGUUGGUUUCUAUCUUUUAAAAAUUAAAUGUUUUAGUACGAAAGGACCAUUCAUUUUGAUUAUAUUAUUAAUUUUGAAUAAAAU
rnacentral:rRNA from 1 species